GUGUUGUAUGAAAGGAGAGAAGGUUAGCACUCCCCUUGACAAGGAUGGAAGAAAUUCUGGAGCCUGACAGCAUGCAUAUGGUCAAGGCAUUGCCACCUACUUCAUGGCAUCUAACCAUGGGGCUUU
ensembl:snRNA